ensembl:misc_RNA 7SK 7SK RNA
AGGCCAUCUGGCUGUAACAUCUGUCACCCCCCUGAUCGCCAGGGUUGAUGUGGCUGAUCUGGCUGGCUAGCCGGGUUGUCCCCUUCCUCCCUCCCCGCUCCAUGUGUGUCCCUCCCGAAGCUGCGCGCUUGGUUGAAGAGGACGGCCUUCCCCGAAUAGGGACGGACCAGUCUUUGGUCCAGGGUAUAUGAGUAGCUGCGCUUCCCCCGCUAGAACCUCCAGACCAGCUCUCAAAUAUUCAGGCUUUUAUUAGGUCUCCAAGUAUUUUGUUUAUUUAUUUAUUUAUUGGAUACUGACACAGAUAAAU